GUGAGUCAUCGAAUCUUUGAACGCACCUUGCACUCUUUGGGUUUACUAAAGAGUAUAUCUGUUUGAGUAUCAUAAAUACCAUUAACUCUAGUUAAGAGUUGAUAUGAGAAUUACACUUUCCUAAUAAGAAAGUGAUUCUUAAAAUGUAUGGUAAAGCAAAAAAGUGUGGUAAAAAGGAAAUAUUAUAUUUUCUUCAUGUCACUUUUAGCUUAAAAAAUUUCUAAUUAUCAUCUUUGAUGAUAAAUAGAAAAAAGAAUCCUAUGAUCUCAAAUCAGAUAAGACUACCCGCUGAACUUAAGC
rnacentral:misc_RNA from 1 species